CGGGGGAGCAAGCGUUGUUCGGAUUUACUGGGCGUAAAGGGCGCGUAGGCGGCCACCGCAAGUCGACUGUGAAAUCUCCGGGCUUAACCCGGAAAGGUCAGCCGAUACUGCGGGGCUAGAGUGCAGAAGGGGCAACUGGAAUUCUCGGUGUAGCGGUGAAAUGCGUAGAUAUCGAGAGGAACACCUGCGGCGAAGGCGGGUUGCUGGGCUGACACUGACGCUGAGGCGCGAAAGCUAGGGGGAGCGAACGGGAUUAGAUACCCCGGUAGUCCUAGCCUUAAACGAUGAAUGCUUGGUGUCUGGGGUUUUAUAGUCCCCGGGUGCCGUCGCUAACGCUUUAAGCAUUCCGCCUGGGGAGUACGGUCGCAAGACUG
rnacentral:rRNA from 1 species